rnacentral:sRNA from 1 species
AACUGAAUACGCUCUCAACCAGAGACAGCAGGGGUGUUCAACACGUAAUAUCCUGCCGAGGUGAGGAGUUUGGAGGUCGCAGCCUGCGUCCCCCAACCCUUCCCCCGGCAUCUCGACUGGGGGCUUUUUGUGGAGGGA